UUAAAUUGAAGAGUUUGAUCAUGGCUCAGAUUGAACGCUGGCGGCAGGCCUAACACAUGCAAGUCGAACGGUAACAGGAAGCAGCUUGCUGCUUCGCUGACGAGUGGCGGACGGGUGAGUAAUGUCUGGGAAACUGCCUGAUGGAGGGGGAUAACUACUGGAAACGGUAGCUAAUACCGCAUAACGUCGCAAGACCAAAGAGGGGGACCUUCGGGCCUCUUGCCAUCGGAUGUGCCCAGA
rnacentral:rRNA from 1 species